rnacentral:rRNA from 1 species
UACGUAGGGCGCAAGCGUUGUCCGGAAUUAUUGGGCGUAAAGAGCUCGUAGGCGGUUUGUCGCGUCUGCUUUGAAAACCUCAGGCUCAACCUGGGGCUUGCAGUGGGUACGGGCAGACUAGAGUGCGGUAGGGGUGACUGGAAUUCCUGGUGUAGCGGUGGAAUGCGCAGAUAUCAGGAGGAACACCGAUGGCGAAGGCAGGUCACUGGGCCGCAACUGACGCUGAGGUGCGAAAGCGUGGGGAGCAAACAGG